GACUUCUUCACCCCUUGUGGGUGAGAUUUGGGUUUAUCACUGCAAAGUGAUUUGCCUUAAACCUAUAGGCUGGUACUGUAACAUCUCUAGUAAGGUGCCAAAGUGUAUGAAGGGUUCGCCCACUUCCUUUGGUGCUAAGCUUAGUUGCUGGACUGGUCCCAACGGGAGUGAUCCCAAUUAGACUAGCUCUUCGUGGUUAGUCUGAAA
rnacentral:misc_RNA from 1 species